rnacentral:rRNA from 1 species
UAUUAUUUAAAAUGUAAAUAAAUUGCUAAAGUAGUAAUAGUUAUGUUCUUGAAACUUAAAAAAUUUGGCGGUAUUUUAGUCUAUCUAGAGGAACCUGUUUUUUAAUCGAUAAUCCACGAUGGACCUUACUUAAAUUUGUAAUCAGUUUAUAUACCGUCGUUAUCAGAAUAUUUUAUAAGAAUAAUAAUAUUCAAUAAUUUUAAUAAAAAUUUAUAUCAGAUCAAGGUGUAGCUUAUAUUUAAGUAAUAAUGGGUUACAAUAAAUUUAUUUAUAUGAAUAAAAUUAUGAAAAAAUUUUUGAAAGUGGAUUUAGUAGUAAAAUUAUAAAGAUUAAUAAUUUGAUUUUAGCUCUAAAAUAUGUACACAUCGCCCGUCGCUCUUAUUAUUAAGGUAAGAUAAGUCGUAACAUAGUAGAUGUACUGGAAAGUGUAUCUAGAAUGA